rnacentral:rRNA from 1 species
GAUGAACGCUGGCGGCGUGCCUAAUACAUGCAAGUCGAACGCUGGAGAUCUAGCUUGCUAGAUCGAAGGAGUGGCGAACGGGUGAGUAAUACAUAAGCAACCUACCCACGAAGACUGGGAUAAUCUCUGGAAACGGGGACUAAUACCGGAUAGGUAAUCGGAAGGCAUCUUCUGGUUAUUAAAGGUUAAAAACACUGGUGGAUGGGCUUAUGGCGCAUUAGUUAGUUGGUGAGGUAACGGCCCACCAAGACGAUGAUGCGUAGCCGGCCCGAGAGGGUGAACGGCCACAUUGGGACUGAGACACGGCCCAGACUCCUACGGGAGGCAGCAGUAGGGAAUUUUCGGCAAUGGGGGCAACCCUGACCGAGCAACGCCGCGUGAGUGAAGACGGCCUUCGGGUUGUAAAGCUCUGUUGUAAGGGAAGAACGGUAGAUAGAGAAUAUCUAAGUGACGGUACCUUACCAGAAAGCCACGGCUAACUACGU